CCUACGGGAGGCAGCAGUGAGGAAUAUUGGUCAAUGGCCGGAAGGCUGAACCAGCCAAGCCGCGUGAGGGAGGAAGGCGCAGAGCGUCGCAGACCUCUUUUGCCGGGGGACAAAAGGCCGGACUCGUCCGGUCCUGAGGGUACCCGGAGAAAAAGCAUCGGCUAACUCCGUGCCAGCAGCCGCGGUAAUACGGAGGAUGCGAGCGUUAUCCGGAUUCAUUGGGUUUAAGGGGUGCGCAGGCGGGCCUUUAAGCCGGCGGUGAAAUCGCGGGGCUCAACCCCGCCGUGCCGGCGGAACUGGGGGCCUUGAGUGCGGCGGAGGCAUGCGGAAUGCGCGGUGUAGAGGUGAAAUGCAUAGAUAUCGCGCAGAACCCCGAUUGCGAAGGCAGCGGGCCGUGCCGCCACUGACGCUGAGGCACGAAAGCGCGGGGAUCGAACAGGAUUAGAUACCCCGGUAGUC
rnacentral:rRNA from 1 species